AACUGGUGCAAGCUAGUAAGAGGGCAGACAUGGAAAAAAAAGAGAAGAAAGCUGGCACCACUGGGGUGUGGCUGCUCUUCGUGCUGCGGCAGGCUGUUUUGGGGAUUGAAUGAAGUUGCUUGUUUUUCAUUUAAGAGCCAGGGUUUAUCUAAUGAGGAAACUGCUUAAGCCAAGUUACAGACUUGGCUCAAGACAAGAACCAGGCUGUGCUGUGUGAGAAGUACUAUUUCAGACGUGUAUUCCUCCUUCAAAAGGUCCGUGGCUUCAUUCUUGAAGUUAGCGAGAUGGAGACCACAAGCCCACUGAAAGGAACCAACUGCAGACACAAUGCAUGUGAGAAAGACUCAGCCCUAUUUUCUGGCUUUGAAGCUGGAGGAAGGAGCCAGGAGCAAAAGAAUGAAGACAGUUUCCAGAAGCUGCAAAAGGGCAGGGACAGAUUCACUCCAGGAAGCCCCAGAAACAAACACAGUCCUGCUGACACCUUGAUUUCAAUCCAGUGAGACAUAUUUUGGACUUCUGACCUACAGAGCUAAAAUAAUAGUAAGAUAAUAAAGUUAUGUUGCCACCACUGAAAA